rnacentral:rRNA from 1 species
GAUGAACGCUAGCGGCAGGCCUAACACAUGCAAGUCAGGGGUAACAUAGGAAAGCUUGCUUUUCUGAUGACGACCGGCGCACGGGUGCGUAACGCGUAUACAACCUACCUUUUAGCGGGAAUAGCCCAGGGAAACUUGGAUUAAUGCCCCAUAGUAUAUAGACUUCUCCUGAAGUUUAUAUUAAACAUUUAUGGCUAUUAGAUGGGUAUGCGUCCUAUUAGUUAGUUGGUAAGGUAACGGCUUACCAAGGCAGCGAUAGGUAGGGGUCCUGAGAGGGAGAUCCCCACACUGGUACUGAGACACGGACCAGACUCCUACGGGAGGCAGCAGUGAGGAAUAUUGGACAAUGGGCGAGAGCCUGAUCCAGCCAUGCCGCGUGCAGGAAGACUGCCCUAUGGGUUGUAAACUGCUUUUACAGAGGAAGAACCACCCCCACGUGUGGGGGUUUGACGGUACUCUGCGAAUAAGGAUCGGCUAACUCCGUG